UUUUUUUGUUUUUUUUUAUUAUUUCUGCUGGAAAUUGCUGUAUCUUAUUGGCUACAGUGUAUCUUGUUAUAUUUUCAUAUUUUAAGCCAAUCAGAAAGCCUAAAUAGUCAAUGAAAUUUUCACUGUAUUUCUUUUUUUGCAUUGCACUGUAUUUCAUUUUUUGGCACUGUAUUUCGAAAAAAUUUCCACUGGUCUUAGCCAAUCAGAAUUGAGAAAUUUUUUUAUGUAUAUUAUUAACUUGAGUUAUCGAUGUUUUAAGGAUAGGGAAUAAUCGCGAACGAAUGGCUCUGGUAUCGAAUUAAUCUCGAAGACGAAGUCUCGGUAUAGGCUAUAGCGACGAUAACGAGACGGCUGCGGCGCAUUGCUCUGUACAACCACCUGAAAAACACAAGCAGAGCUUCAACGUUUCGAGCGUCGGAAAGUUAGUAACUUAACGUAACUUUCUGAAGAAGGGCCUCGAAACCUCCAAGUUCUGCUUGUAUUUUUAAGGUAGUUGUAUCUCUCAAUGCGCAGUUCUCUCUAGUAUUGAGUCUCAGUAUAAUAUAUACAGCUAUUUCAAUUAAGGUUGUCGUCCCCCGAGCAAAGCGAAAAAGUCCGAUAUACGAGCGUUCGACUUUUCCGCUUUGCUCGGGAAACAACCUUAAUUGAAAUAGCUGUAUAUGCCAUUUUAUACUGUUUUUGACUAACUUUCUAAACGUCAAAUUGGAGCAUUGAUAUCUUGCUUAAUAUUGCAUGGACAUUCACGUGUACAGGGCUCGAAAUAGAAAAAAUAUAUGACCUGCCAAAUAAUUUUUUUUGGCAGGUCAAAUAAAUUAUGGUCUGCCAUAUAUAUUUCUAUUGUUGAACUGCCAAAACGGUCUCACUUAGGUAUGAACAUAAAGAUUAAAUGAUCAUUUUCUUCGUGUAUAUCAAUCAUUUGUAUCUGUUGUUUUAUUUAACUAUUAAGGACCUUAAGAUUGAUGUUACGGCUAACCGAAAAUGUCAAACUUCACAUCGAUCGAUUGUGUUCUCAACCAUUGGACGCCAUUUUGUUUUUGUAGAAUUUCGCCUGCCAUUUUAUUUUUGACUUGGAGCUGAAAUGGCAGGCAGCUAGUUCGAGCUCUGCAUGUUAUAUACCCAGGCCCAGAUUUAAGUUAACCUAUCCUGAAUGUAUUAAAUUUUAGCUGGUCUAUAUAUUAUACUGUGUAUCAUGUAUCAUGCAGGAAUUAAUUACGCAUAUAUAUAAUAUAUUAUAUAUAAUAUAUUAUACUGUGUAUCCAU